rnacentral:rRNA from 1 species
CCCUUAGAUGUUCUGGGCUGCACGCGCGCUACACUGAAGCUAUCAACACGUUUUCCCUCCCUGAUAAGGGCGGGUAACCUUUUGAAUCAGCUUCGUGGUAGGGAUCGGGGCUUGCAAUUGUUCCCCGUGAACCAGGAAUUCCUAGUAGACGCGAGUCAUAAGCUCGCAUCGAUUAAGUCCCUGCCCUUUGUACACACCGCCCGUCGCUACUACCGAUUGAACGUUUUAGUGAGGCAUUUGGACCGACGCAUCUCAGUUUAACCGCUGGUUUGUGUUGGAAAGACUUCCAAACUUGAGCGUUUAGAGGAAGUAAAAGUCGUAACA